rnacentral:rRNA from 1 species
GAUGAACGCUGGCGGCGUGCCUAAUACAUGCAAGUCGAGCGAACAGACGAGGAGCUUGCUCCUCUGACGUUAGCGGCGGACGGGUGAGUAACACGUGGAUAACCUACCUAUAAGACUGGGAUAACUUCGGGAAACCGGAGCUAAUACCGGAUAACAUGUUGAACCGCAUGGUUCAACAGUGAAAGACGGUCUUGCUGUCACUUAUAGAUGGAUCCGCGCCGCAUUAGCUAGUUGGUAAGGUAACGGCUUACCAAGGCAACGAUGCGUAGCCGACCUGAGAGGAUGAUCGGCCACACUGGAACUGAGACACGGUCCAGACUCCUACGGGAGGCAGCAGUAGGGAAUCUUCCGCAAUGGGCGAAAGCCUGACGGAGCAACGCCGCGUGAGUGAAGAAGGUCUUCGGAUCGUAAAACUCUGUUAUUAGGGAAGAACAAAUGUGUAAGUAACUAUGCACGUCUUGACGGUACCUAAUCAGAAAGCCACGGCUAACUACGUG